ACGCAAGGCUUUUUAACACCCAUUUAUGAUCAAGCUGGUCAGUGGAGACCCACCCAUGGGACACAUUUCCUCACACCAACUAUAAUCAUUUACUCAAACCACCCCCACUCUGUCUCCCUCCCUCUCACACACAUGCAAAAGAAUAACAGUGUCUCUGCUGCAAUAGAGUCAUGUUUAUUCAUUUGAACAUUGUAUUUAUGAAAGUAGGGUUUAAGAAAGUAAUGCACCUGGACUCGGCCCUGCUAGAAUGUGUGGUCAGAGAUGGGUACUGGCACUUAUGGAGGACCUCUUGCGUGGGCAAACAUCACCUCACCAUCCACUAUAGCUGCUUGUGCCCCGAAUACACUAUUUAAAAAAAAAAUGGUCUGUGUGGACAGCCCAGUCUCCAAACACAGCAACAAAACCAACCUGGUUCAAUCUGGGCCAUAAAAGCAUAACAAACUA